UUCUGCAUAAACGUAAACAAAAUCCUCGUGCAACAAUAAGAUUUAAAUUCGUAAAAAAAUAGAAACAAUUUACGCUUAAAAUUCAGUGAAUCAUUUUGCAAACUAAUAGUGAAUUAAUUUUUACCAAAUGAAUAUUUUUUUUCAGAAAUUGAAUAGUUUAGACUCCGAUUCCAACCACUAUUCCCGUACUAUACGACAAUAGAUCGAAACCUCGUUACUGAAAUAUAUUUUCACCAGAAGUUAUCGUCUACGUAUA